GCCCAUCGAACGGCGUGUCUGGCGUGCAGGUGUGCCACGUCGGCACGACGGACACCACAUUCCCAUCCACGCUCAUUCCACGCGCAAGCUACGCAGUUACCGGUGCCCACGCAGCAAAGCAAUGCCACCGUCUUCGAUAUUCACGUUCGAGGAGUACAGGGGCCCGGACGGCAAGCAGCCUGUGGCAGCGCGUAGCGGCGUCUUCCACCUGCCCCACGGCCCCUUGCGCACGCCGAUAUUUAUGCCGGUGGCGACGCAGGGUGCACUAAAGGGCGUCACAGUGGAGCAACUUGAGGAGCUCGAUGUUGAAAUAAUCCUGGGCAACACCUAUCAUCUGGGCCUUCGACCAGGGGAGGAGGUGCUGCGUGCUCUAACCGCCCGCAAGAAUGCGCGGGAGGCUUCCACCGGCACGCGCACCUCGGCAGAUGGCAUACGCGACAACAUGGAUGGUAUCCACUUUAUGGAGAACUGGAGAAAGAACAUAUUAACCGACAGCGGUGGUUUCCAGAUGGUGUCGCUGCUGAAGCUUGCGCAGAUUACGGAGGAGGGCGUGCGGUUCCAGUCGACACAUGGCAGUGGCACGGCAGGGGCUGUGGCUUCUGUAGCCAAGACGGAGGCCUUGAGCUCUGCCAGCGGUGCGACUGCAGCGGCAUCUGCAGCGACGGCGCCGACAGAUGCAGCUAACGGACAUGACAACGAAGGGGAGGCGGAAAACACGUACUCCCUGCUGCUCCGGCCUGAGGACUCCAUCCGCAUUCAGAAUGCCAUCGGUGGUGACAUUAUGAUGCAGCUGGACGACGUGGUGCACACGCUGACUGUCGGACCACGUGUGGAGGAGGCGGCGAAGCGCUCUAUCCGGUGGCUUGACCGCUGUCUCGCAGCCAACCAGAAUCGGGAAAAGCAGUGCAUCUUUGGCAUCGUGCAGGGUGCCUUGAAUGCCGAGCUGCGCCGGUACUGCGUGAAGGAGAUUAUCCAGCGGGCAGAGUGCAUGGGCUACGCCAUCGGCGGGCUCAGCGGCGGGGAGGCGAAGGACGACUUUUGGAGGAUGGUGCGCUUGUGCACGAAGGAGGGUUUGCCGGCGAACAAGCCGCGGUACUGCAUGGGCGUUGGCUAUCCAGAGGACAUCCUCGUCUGUAUCGCGCUCGGAGUGGACAUGUUCGACUGCGUGUACGCCUGCCGCACAGCCCGCUUCGGCUCCGCACUCACUUCCUCUGGCAAGCUGCAGCUUUCUAAGAAGGAGUAUGCGGCCGACUUCGGCCCCCUCGACCCGAACUGCAGCUGUAUGACGUGCCGCACGUACACACGCUCCUACCUGAACAUGAUCGCGGCAAAGGAGGGGACAGCGGCGACGUUGCUAUCGUAUCACAACAUCGCCUACCUCAUCGGCCUCACGCGCGGCGCUCGAAGCGCCAUAGAAGAGGGUCGCUUUACCGAAUACGUGCAGAACUUCUUCCUUGCCUACUACCCCACGAAGGAAUACCCAGCGUGGGUGGUUGAGGCGCUGGCAUCUGUGGAGAUAACUCUGUUGUAGUGGUGCGCUUGGUGAGGUGCACGCACACAGACGCAGCCGAGGACAUAUGGGUUGGGAGGUAACGCCGCCAGGGCUGAUGACUCGAACAGUCGGUCUUGCUCUGCUCUCGUAGUAGACAGUAAGGGCGCGACACACAGUGACCGUGUGCGUCGGUGGACACUGUGCUGAAGGAGGGUGGAGGAGCCUGUGAAGAACCGAAAGGCUGGAUGCUGCCAGCUCAGUUAUCCUCUGUAUCUCUGCCGCUCGGCCAUUCGCAAAGGGACUUCCUCAUGAGCCUUUCUCCUGUUGUUUGCCCUCCACAAGCGUUGCCGAGUGCGUGGUCACGGAGGGGGAGGGGGAGAUCCCUGGUGCUUGUAGGCUUGUGCGUGCGGAACGGGGGGCUGUCAGUCGCAGCGCUUGUGUCCGCAGGCUUCUCUUCCUUUUGUGCUUCUCUUCACACCACCAUGACGGGGCGCACACCUCGGCGCAUCGUAUCCUCAGAGUCUAGUGCACCCCGACUCUGUGUGGGGAGGAAGCCAGGCGAGCCCCCUUAUCUCUGCCGAUGCCGAGCUACCUCUGGUGGUAACAUGGUCAAGUACUUAUGGCGUAGGGCGUGGUGAGAGUGGUGUAGCGCUGCUGAUAUUGGAGGUCAGGUCCUGGCUGACGUUGCGUCGGAGCGGCCUGCGGCAGCGAGCACGUUUGCACCACCCACAUGAUGGGCAGGGUGUCAGCGUGGCUUGAGCGUACCUCACCCGGCCCUCGCACUGCCCACUGAUGUGGGGAGCCUGCGCCACGGCGAGGGGGAUGCACCAGGGGUGGCGACCGGCAUGAUGUGAGCGGCUGUGAGGCGGCCUGUGGAGCGAGAGACGGCUAGAGCUUGAUGCAGAGGCCGUGUGCAGAUGACUGACUCGGCGCAUAGCUCUAAAGCAUGUGUCUAAGGCUGCUUCGCACGGUGCGACGGGCCUGUGGCAGGGCCGGGAGCCGAGUGGAGUGUGGCUCAUGCUCUGUGGUGGAGAAUGGACACGUGAACAAAACCCUUUCUGCGGCUUCAUCGUAUUGGCGUGUGUGUACCUUCGAAAUGGUAG
rnacentral:misc_RNA from 1 species